GCAAGAAUCAUGUUAUGUGAGAGACAUAGAGAGUACAUGUCAGGAAGUACUAAUAAUUAUGGGCCAAAUCAACAAGAGAACGGAACAAAAAGGUCAGUAUGUGAGACAGAUAGACAUGAAAGAGAGAGAGGUGAGACAGAAAGACGUGAAAGAGAGAGAUAGACAUGAACGAGAGAGAUAGACAUGAACGAGAGAGAGGUGAGACAGGAAGACAUGAAAGAGAGAGAUAGACAUGAAAGAGAGAGAGGUGAGACAGAAAGACAUGAAAGAGAGAGAUAGACAUGAACGAGAGAGAGGUGAGACAGAAAGACAUGAAAGAGAGAGAUAGACAUGAACGAGAGAGAGGUGAGACAGGAAGACAUGAAAGAGAGAGAGGGAGCAGACAGGUAUAGCAGCGGCACUUUGACUGAGGACAUUUAAAUGCCCUUUCUGAGAAAAGUUCAUCUCCC
ensembl:lncRNA